AAGUGCUGCGUUCUUCAUCGAU
rnacentral:rRNA from 1 species